GCCGCAGACCCAGACACCAGCUCUCUCCCUGGAGCAUCGCCUGCCCCUCAAGGGCCUCAGCCCUGCCUCUCCCAGCCCUGGGGCACUGAGCUGGCAAAGACUGGCAAGUGGAGGCAGCUGCUCCUUCCUCCAGCCUCAGACCUCAGGCACAUCCGGCCACGCACGCCACACCCUGUGCAACCACUGUCCACAUCCCCGAUGCAGGCCUGGGCAGCGUGGCAGAAGUGCCCACACGCAUCGGGCACAGGAUCAGGAAAACCCAACCUCUGCCCCGGAGGGCUCAUCAGCCAAAGUGAAAGGAAUCAUGGAGGAACAGGCAAAGUGCUGUGAAAGGGGAAAUCCAGGAAGGCUUCCUGGAUGGUGUGGCUCCUAAGGUGUGCCUGCAUACAAGAGGGUGUAAGUAAUCCUAACGACAGUAAGGGGUCCGCUGCCGUUUGUGCUCACACCGUGUGCCAGCGAACGAGAAGCACUGUGGUUGCUGCUUCCUUUCAUCCUCAUGAUGCCUUCAGGAGCCUCUUCCUGGGGGGGAGAAAGAAGACCCAACACGCUGGGCUGUGAGCUGUGCUCCAGCGCUGCUGCUGAAUCAUUUCCUCCAGUCAGCCCCACCGAACGCUGCACUCGAGCAUCAGGAAGGAGGACCCCGCCAGCCCUGACUGUGGUGGUCUUCCCGGAGCUGCUCCUUGACAGGCUGGGGGCCUCCAGGAAGCCACUAAUGUCAGCCGGUCUCAAUCCCCAUGGCCUGGCACAGAGCCCAGCACAGAGUAGGCACUCAGCAAAUAAUUGUUGAAUGAACAAAUGGUUGAACAGCUGUUUGUAAAUAACUAAAACAUUCGCCAUGGCAACCAGCUUUCCUCUUUAAUCCAUGUGAAAAGAAAAAAUGAAGCUCUCCAAAUAUUUGCGCGAUAAUAAUCCAUCUUGAAGUUGAAAUAUGUUCCUCCAAAUUACCCCACCAUGUCUGAUUUCAAAGAACUUAUAUUCUUGUAGACUUCAAGAUGGAGCAUGUCAAAUCCUGACAGUCAGGACAAGAGGAGAUGUUCAAAAAGACAGCAGCCAGCCCCUGACAGCUCCCCGGGCCCCAGGAAAGACACGGGAGGGGAGAAGCUGAGUCUCUCCUCCGGGCUGGUGGGGCUUACACGGCGGCACUAGCUUCUUGGGUUUCCCCAUGAGCUGAAUAUUCCUUCCACUAACCCAGGAAUUUGAUGCAAUAAAUCUCAUGAUUACUGAUGGUU